rnacentral:rRNA from 1 species
AACGAACGCUGGCGGCAGGCCUAACACAUGCAAGUCGAACGCACCGCAAGGUGAGUGGCGCACGGGUGAGUAACACGUGGGAAUGUAUCCUUUGGUUCGGAAUAACGUCUGGAAACGGACGCUAAUACCGGAUGAGCCCUUAGGGGGAAAGAUUUAUCGCCGAAGGAGCAGCCCGCGUCUGAUUAGGUAGUUAGUGGGGUAAAGGCCUACCAAGCCGACGAUCAGUAGCUGGUCUGAGAGGAUGAUCAGCCACACUGGGACUGAGACACGGCCCAGACUCCUACGGGAGGCAGCAGUGGGGAAUAUUGGACAAUGGGCGCAAGCCUGAUCCAGCCAUGCCGCGUGAGUGAUGAAGGCCUUCGGGUUGUAAAGCUCUUUCGCACACGACGAUGAUGACGGUAGUGUGAGAAGAAGCCCCGGCUAACUUCGUGCCAGCCGCCGCGGUAAGAC